GGCGGCAGGCUUAACACAUGCAAGUCGAACGCAUCNUUCGGGGUGAGUGGCAGACGGGUGAGUAACGCGUGGGAACGUGCCNUUCAGUUCGGGAUAACCCAGGGAAACUUGGGCUAAUACNGGAUACGUGCGAGAGCAGAAAGAUUUAUCGCUGAAGGAUCGGCCCGCGUCUGAUUAGCUAGUUGGUGGGGUAAUGGCCCACCAAGGCGANGAUCAGUAGCUGGUCUGAGAGGAUGAUCAGCCACACUGGGAGUGAGACACGGCCCAGANUCNUACGGGAGGCAGCAGUGGGGAAUAUUGGACAAUGGGCGCAAGCCUGAUCCAGCCAUGCCGCGUGAGUGAUGAAGGCCUUAGGGUUGUAAAGCUCUUUCAGUGGGGACGAUAAUGACGGUACCCGCAGAAGAAGCCCCGGCUAACUUCGUGCCAGCAGCCGCGGUAAUACGAAGGGGGCUAGCGUUGUUCGGAAUCACUGGGCGUAAAGGGCGCGUAGGCGGCUUUAUAAGUCGGGGGUGAAAGCCUGUGGCUCAACCACAGAAUUGCCUUCGAUACUGUAUGGCUUGAGACCGGAAGAGGUUAGUGGAACUGCGAGUGUAGAGGUGAAAUUCGUAGAUAUUCGCAAGAACACCAGUGGCGAAGGCGGCUGACUGGUCCGGAUCUGACGCUGAGGCGCGAAAGCGUGGGGAGCAAACAGGAUUAGAUACCCUGGUAGUCCACGCCGUAAACGAUGAAUGCCAGCCGUUGGGCAGCUUGCUCCUCAGUGGCGCAGCUAACG
rnacentral:rRNA from 1 species